GUGUACGCUGGCGGUAGGCCUAACACAUGCAAGUCGAACGGCAGCACAGUAAGAGCUUGCUCUUACGGGUGGCGAGUGGCGGACGGGUGAGGAAUACAUCGGAAUCUACUUUUUCGUGGGGGAUAACGUAGGGAAACUUACGCUAAUACCGCAUACGACCUACGGGUGAAAGCAGGGGAUCUUCGGACCUUGCGCGAUUGAAUGAGCCGAUGUCGGAUUAGCUAGUUGGCGGGGUAAAGGCCCACCAAGGCGACGAUCCGUAGCUGGUCUGAGAGGAUGAUCAGCCACACUGGAACUGAGACACGGUCCAGACUCCUACGGGAGGCAGCAGUGGGGAAUAUUGGACAAUGGGCGCAAGCCUGAUCCAGCCAUACCGCGUGGGUGAAGAAGGCCUUCGGGUUGUAAAGCCCUUUUGUUGGGAAAGAAAAGCAGCAGGUUAAUACCCCGCUGUUCUGACGGUACCCAAAGAAUAAGCACCGGCUAACUUCGUG
rnacentral:rRNA from 1 species